UCUGUGUUCGCUGGUCAUGCACGGUAAAAGAAAAAAUGCCUGGUCGACGCGUAGAUUAGAAAACAAGUCAGUUCUCAAUGUGGAAAAAAAACAUGCUGUAUAGGCUAUUUUUGAUGACUGAGAGGACAGGCAAUGAUGCAGAGAGCACAGGGAGAGGAGAAACACCAGGUCCAAUAGAGAGAGAAGCACAGAGGAGCCAUGAACCCCAGAACACGCAGGACCUGACGUGGAGGACAAGGCCCUCUGGGCACUACUGUAAAAAGGAGACUCCGUAUGUAGAUAGUUCUUAAUCUGCAAUUGUGUUGUUGUGUUGUGUUGACAUACUUUUCUUUACUGUUUUCUUAAAUUUAAUGAACUACAAACUACUAACCCAUUUAUUCAUUGUCAUUGAUUGUAUAUGACUUUUACUGAUAACAUAAUGCAAUAUAGCCAGGACAGCCUUAUAGAGUCGCAACACUUUGUGUUGCGUUGCUUCGCAUCGCGUCGAGGUCUGUAUGAUCACAAAAUUCAGAGUUUACCCACCUCUAAUUUUACCACUACAGCACUGCUUGACGGCGUAGUGGGUUACUAAUGGUUAUCUUUGGGACUGUGGUCUCCGCUCUCUUCAGGUCAUUGACCAGGUCCUGCUGUGUAGUUCUGGGCUGAUCCCUCACAUUCCUGAUGAUCAUUGAUGCCCCACAAGGUGAGAUCUGGCAUGGAACCCCAGGUCGAGGGAGAUUGACCAUCAUCUUCAACAUCUUCCAUUUUCUAAUUAUUGCACCAACAGUUGUUCUUCACACCAAGCUGCUUGUCUGUUGUUCUGUAGCCCACCACAGCUCUGUGCAGGUCUACAAUUCUAUCCCUGAUGUCCUUACACAGCUCUCUGGUCUUGGCUAUUGUGGAGAGGUUGGAGUCUGUUUGAGUGUGUGGACAGGUGUCUUUUAUACAGGUAACGAGUUCAAAUAGGUGCAGUUGAUACAGGCAAUAAGUGGAGAACAGGAGGGCUUCCUAAAGACAAACUAACAGUCUGUGAGAGACGGAAUUCUUACUGGUUGGUAGGUGAUCAAAUUCUUAUGUCAUGCAAUAAACUGCAAAAUAUGAUAAAUGAUAAAAAUUACAGAUUCUUACUUUGUAAGUGGGAAAACCUACAAAAUUGGCUACUACUUCUUCCCCCCACUGUAUAUAUGAUAUAAAAUGAGGGGCGAUAUUAAAACCUUGUCUAAAACAAAACAUUCAAGCAACUAGCUCAGCACUAUUUUUUGAUAAAAUGAUAUUAGAUUUAUUUUGGCUUAUUUCUCAAGUCAAGGAUGCCUUGAACUGUUGUUGCGGAACCAUUCAUUGGUAAUGCUGAAAAGGUUUUGUGUAAUGUUCUGUUACGCAGCAGGUCCAGCACCUUGGUCGUUUUCAUUCAUUUUGUUCAUCAGGCUGAAUCUCAGAGGACUCCAUGCCAUCCUAUGUCCAUUUCCUCUCCAGCUGAUCCACAGGUGGCAAAGUACACUUUGUUCUUAUUUGUCUGGCCUGUCUGUUCAAUAUUAGCCUUCUCUCCAUCCGCAGAACAGCCCCUGAUAUUGUUAUGAAAGGGGAGCAUUGAAUCAGGGAGAGCAGAAAAGCAUUUGGCUGGCAUUUCCCACCUCGGCUGAAUCCAGUUCCUGGUGCCUGGGCCAGACUGUUUCGUUUCUGUUUGAGCAUUGAUGAUGACACUGUUCCAGGUCUCCACCUGUGUCCUCCCUCUCUGAUCAGUGCAGUGGCCCUGCUGGGAAGGGAUAACAAACAGCAGGGCGCUCUCAUCUCUCCCCAGUCUUUCUGCGCUGAUAAGCAUGGAUAGAUCAUCAGGAUUGUUAGGUGUUAGAAUCUCAAUCUUUUCUGCUUGAACUAAGAUCGAUGGACAUAUGUCUCUUUGACUCUGGUAUCUCUGUUUGGUCAUGCAUAGUCAAACCUGUAUUUUUGCAUGAAAAAAGCUAGUUUAUAAAUACCCUACUUUGUAAUAAUUCAUAUUUAUAAAUGAAGAAAGUCAUGAUUUCGUCAUGAUGAAUUAUUGGCAUAGUCAGAAAAAAGGGACAAUUAAACCUUUUUGUAAAAGUAUUAUCUUUCUUCAAAACAUAAUUAAAG
ensembl:lncRNA